rnacentral:rRNA from 1 species
UACGUAGGGUGCAAGCGUUGUCCGGAAUUAUUGGGCGUAAAGAGCUCGUAGGCGGUCUGUUGCGUCGGCUGUGAAAACCCGGGGCUCAACUCCGGGCCUGCAGCCGAUACGGGCAGACUAGAGUUCGGCAGGGGAGACUGGAAUUCCUGGUGUAGCGGUGAAAUGCGCAGAUAUCAGGAGGAACACCAGGUGGCGAAGGCGGGUCUCUGGGCCGAUACUGACGCUGAGGAGCGAAAGCGUGGGGAGCGAACAGG